GAAAGGGCAGUAGAAAAAGGAAGCAGUUUAGGCAGAAACACUUCAAAUGUAUGAAGGUAUUAAGGAGAAAGUAGUAAUAGGGAACUAUUCAUAAAAGCUAUUGUGAACUGAAGGUGGUAAGUGUUUCUAUAUUAACAUGUCCACGUACUUUCUAGCUUGUCUUCCUUCCCCUCCUCCUAUCUUCUCAUUCUAGCAUCUUUUCCUUUCCAGUCCUGAAGAAGGGUCUCGGCCUGAAACAUUGACAGUUUAUUUCUCUCCAUAGAUGCUGCCCGACCUGCGGAGUUCCUGCAGCAUUUUGUGUGUGUGUGUUGUGCUCACACGCUGAAAUGUUGUUUAAGUGUACCUGUGCUAUAUUAGGUUGGAAAAAAAUCCAUUUAAUAGAGAUUCUGUCCUGUUACCAACCUUCAAAAAAGUUCUAAGUAAAUUUAUUAUCAAAGUACACUUAUGUCAGCAUGCACCAGCCUCAGAUUCAUUUUCUUACAGACAUUCAAAGUAAAUACACUACACGCAGGCAAGAGUUUACCUAAUCCAGAAAGCACCAGCCAAAUCUGGAAUUCACCAGAGACUGUUCAGUCUGAAGAUUAAUUUGCUGAGCGAGAUAUGCACAGAGCCAGCACAUGUGACACCCAAGGAUUAAAAAGAUCAUGGGAUAUAUUGAGGAAGUUGUUCAGACAGAGCCAUACAGAAAAUGAAAACAAGGACCAUGAAGAAACACUGUUUUAAUUUUUGCUGAUGUUGACGAUUUUCUCAGUUCACAGCUCUACAUUUAAAAGCAAAGAGGACACUAAAGCGAUUUACUACAAAUGAGUGUUUGGUUGUCAGAGACCGAUAUAGCUCACAACAAAGCAUUUGGAGCUACUCAUGUUAAACAGGAGGCUCCGCAGAUGCUGGAAAUCCAGAGCAACGCACAGAAAACGCUGGAGGAUCUCAGCAGGUCAGGCAGCAUCUAUGGAGGGGAAUGAACAGUCGAUGUUUCGAGUCUCAAGGAUUAGACAGUCAACAUUUCAGGCCAAAAUAAGGUGCGGGGAGUGGAAGGAUUACAAGCUAGAAGCACAGUGUGUGGUGAACUAUGUGCCUGUCUGGACACGCCCCCUGCUGACUGCUCCUGUGGCUCUUCCCACAGGCCCCUGUAUAAAGGCGAUCUGAGGCCUGACGCUCGGCCUCAGUCUCCAGGACAUGGUAUGAUGGACACUCACUCCUGGUUCCUUCUUCCAGUCAAUAAAAGCCGAUAUCUC